UACGGAGGGUGCUAGCGUUGUUCGGAGUUACUGGGCGUAAAGGGCGCGUAGGCGGCUCGUGAAGUCGGGUGUGAAAGCCCGGGGCUCAACCCCGGAACGGCAUCCGAUACUGGCGGGCUUGAGACCGGGAGAGGAGGGUGGAAUACCCAGUGUAGAGGUGAAAUUCGUAGAUAUUGGGUGGAACACCGGUGGCGAAAGCGGCUCUCUGGCCCGGAUCUGACGCUGAGGCGCGAAAGCGUGGGGAGCAAACAGG
rnacentral:rRNA from 1 species